ACGCACGCUGGCGGCGUGCUUAACACAUGCAAGUCGUACGGUAAGGCCCUUUCGGGGGUCCCCGAGUGGCGAACGGGUGAGUAACACGUGAGUAACCUGCCCACAACUUUGGGAUAACGCUAGGAAACUGGUGCUAAUACUGGAUAUGUGCUCCUGCUGCAUGGUGGGGGUUGGAAAGCUCCGGCGGUUGUGGAUGGACUCGCGGCCUAUCAGCUUGUUGGUGGGGUAGUGGCCUACCAAGGCGGCGACGGGUAGCCGGCCUGAGAGGGUGACCGGCCACAUUGGGACUGAGAUACGGCCCAGACUCCUACGGGAGGCAGCAGUGGGGAAUAUUGCACAAUGGGCGCAAGCCUGAUGCAGCAACGCCGCGUGCGGGAUGACGGCCUUCGGGUUGUAAACCGCUUUCAGCAGGGACGAAGCUUUUUGUGACGGUACCUGCAGAAGAAGCACCGGCUAACUACGUG
rnacentral:rRNA from 1 species